AAGCUUUUUAAAGUCAGUAAUGCCUGGCACUCACUUUGAAUCUCUUCCAAUUCUGCAGGUGAAAUCCUUGAAUCCUUAAGCUGUUAUAUAUUCCCUUGAUGAGUGCAUAUCACUAAAGCAAAUGCUUGAAUCUCAGAGUUAACCAGCUGGAAGGGUCGGUAUUUCAGCACGUCACUUUCCAGGAUACUCCCACCUAGGGAUUGCAGGUAGUUUCUUGUCCUACAAUUCUUUCCUAUUGUCAGUCGGCUUGAAAUAUUUAUUUGCCCUCAAUACCCUGGGGGCAGGGUGUCUCCUAGCUAAGAUGCCUGGGAAACUACUGCAGAAGCAAGUGACACUGAAUCAGCUUCAAUUCAUCUUCUGAGGAUGAUGAAUAAGGACAUGUACGCAGUGUAGAGUCUUGGAAGCAAAAUGUAUCUAUUGAUAGGUCUUUUGUUUUCAGCUUCUUUUCAGCUUUACCAUUUCCAUUCCUUUCUAUACUAACAGGUUACUUUCCACAGAGGAUGUUUGACCUAACUUAGGUGGCAUUUUAAACAUUUUGGUUCAAAUUUUGCUGCAGUAAAUGGGUAACUUUGGUGUAAAGAGAAUGUUGACUCUAUCUGUUCAUCUGGAAUUUGGGGUGGCUCCUCUAUUUUGCUGCUUCCCUCGACCAAACAAAAAAUUCUCUGUCCUAGGACCUGUUUUAAGUCAGUCAUAAGACUGGCAGAAAAUCAAACCAAAUCUAAAUGAAUGGCUGUUGAACUUAAUCUCCCAUCUUGAACCUGUGUGUGCCAUGGAAUAGCCUGCUUGUAUUAAUAAGCACAAUUCAGAUCAGAAUUACUGCUCUGUGGUCCUGUUCAUCAGAAUUUCAUAAUGCAACUAGAGAUUCUCAUACUAAUUGAAGUAAGUUCAAAGGAGAAAGACAGAUACCAUAUGGUAUCACUUACAUGUGCAAUCUAAAAUGUGGCACCACAUGAACCUAUCUAGAAAACAGAAAGACUCACAGACAUGGAGAACAGACUUGUGGUUGCCAAGGGAGAGGGAGGAGGGAGUGGAAUGGGGAGGGAGUUUGGGGUUAGUAGAUGCAAACUAUUACAUUUAGAAUGGAUGGACAAUAAGGUCCUACUGUAUAGCAAGGGAAACUGUGUCGAAUCUCCUGGGAUAGACUAUGAUGGAAAGAAUAUUUUAAAAAGAAUGUAAAUAUAUGUAUGGCUUAGUUACUUUACUGUACAGCAGAAAUUGGCACAACAUUGUAAACUGACUAUAAUAAAAAAUUAAAAGAACAAACAAAAGAAUUUCUGCUGUGGGAGAAGGUGACACAGGAGAAUAAUUAACCAUGUAUUUAUUUAUUUUUUUUCCUUUUAGGGCUGUACUUGUGGCAUAUGGAAGUUCCCAGGCUACAGGUCGAAUCAGAGCUGCAGCUGCUGGCCUACACCACAACCACAGCAAUGCCAUAUCUGAGCUGCAUCUUCAAACUGCACCACAGCUCACCACAGAUACUUAGCCCACUGGGCAAGGCCAGGGAUCAAAUUUGCAUCCUCGUGGAUACUAGUUGGGUUAGUAACCUGAUGAGCCACAAUGGGAACUCCCAGCGUAUUUAAACUUUUAAAAGGGGUUACUAAACAAUAUGUCCUAGAUAAUUCCAAUACCGUUCAUUAUGUACAUAGAGAAUUACAGGAAGAAACACCCAAAUGUUAACCUUAAGGAAUAGAAUAAUCGAUAGUUUGAUUUAAUUUGUUUGCUUUUCAAAAUACUCCUAAAUGAAAAGUAUUACCUCUGUCUCAGAUAAAUUAAUUUUUAAAGAAAAAGUGGUUUAUAAUACCAAUACACCAGAAUCAAAAUGUGCAACAGAUACACCUAAAAAAUAGAGCUAAUUAUAAUUCUUGCUGAUGAAAGCCACUGUAGAUUUUUCUCUUGCUUGGCAUACAUCACUUGUUCUUUCUUUAAAAACAAACAAACAAACAGGUCCUGGAUGCUUGCGAGUAAAUGAAUAAUACAUGUAUGGCUCCUGCCUUCCUGGAACUAACUAACUAACUAACCUUCUAGUAGAGAUAGAAGGAUAAGCUGACAGCAAAACCAGCAUGUCACAGCCGAGAACAGUUUCAUGCAUUCCCCAUCAGGCAGUGCGCUCGGCAGUCCCACAGGUGUCCCUCGCUUCAACAGUGUUUCAAUGGAACAGACCCAGGUAGACCCCUUCCUCCAGCCUCUGACCACCCUCCAAACUUUUUUCCAAUCGAAACUUUCAGAGGUAGUCACUCAGCUAUCCUUGGCCUCUGUGACCAGCUAACAUCAUUUUCGGAGCUUAACUCAUUAUUAUGGAUCAACUCUGGGCUUCCAGAUGCAUCAGAAUUAUUCUUGCCAGGUGGAGGCCACUCUCAGCCGCCUGGUCAACCUCCAUCAGGGGGCCUCCCACACCUGCCUCUCUCUGGGCUAUUUCAUCCGCAACAAUGUAGCUCUAGAGGGUGUGGACCACUUUUUUUUUUUUAUGGAGAAUUGGCCAAGGAGAAGUGCAAGGGCACCAAGCACCUCUUAAAAAUGCAAAACCAGCAAGGCAGCUCCAUCCUCUUCCAGAAAGAAGCCAUCUCAGGAUGUGUGGGGUAAAACCCAGGAUGCUAUGGGGUUUAGCUGCCAUGGUCCUGGGAGGGAACCCGAACCAUGCCCUUUUGGAUCCACAUGCCCAGGGUUCUGCCUGAGCAGACCCCCCACCUCUGUGACCUCCUGGAGAGCCACGUCCUAGAGGAGCAGGCAAAGAUCGGAGACCACUUGACCAACUUCUGCAGGAUGGCUGGUCCCCAGGCUGAGCUGGAUGAGUAUCUCUUGGAAAGGCUCACCCUCAAGCAGGACUAGGAGCCUCUGGAGCCCAGCGGCCUUUGAGGAGCCCCUCUGGUGUGAGAGUUUCUGCCUAAAGCCCCAUCCUGCAGCCAGUAGUCACUUUUUAACCACCCUGGAGCCCUCUCCCCAGCCUUGGACCAAAUGGAAACAAAGUUUUUUCAACAAACAAACAAACAAACAAACAAUUUCAUGCAUUCCCUAUCAAAACACCCAACCCUCCUUUUGCAGAUUCAGUUCUGGCCUUGGUACAUCUGCUGACAAUCCUGUUGGACUCUCACACUGCUGGUCAGUGCUUCAUGAGCCUCAUCUCCAUCAUCCACACAAUAGUUUUAACUUAUUAGAGCAGUGUUCUAUAUUUCGAAAAUUUACUUGCUCUUAUUUUAUAAAAAUGAAAGUGCAAAUACUAGUUACAGGAAAUGUAGAUUUUAUAAAUGUAAUUUACAUAAGAUGAAAUCCUUAGGUGUGCCCGAGGCACUGCAUCUCUAGCCUCAACCAGACAUUCAUUCAUGAGACGAAGGCCAGCAAAGUGAGUAAAGGAAAGAAGAGAAUCAGAGAACAAGUACAGAAUCCUGGAAGUUUUCCUUGUUCAAGCUAAAAUUUUAGCUGUGUUUAGAGAUUUUGCUUUUGCUUUAGCUUUGUGGGAAAGGAUUCCUCCUAAAAUGAGUAAAUUUAUUGUUUGAUUUCUAGAUACAUUUGCAGAUGUGCUUUAUGUUUGAACGUUGAGGAUGGCCUUUGCUGGUUCACCAUUGCCUACAGAACAUAUUCUAAAUCAUUUAUUACAUCAGUGAUGUUAACAUCCACAAGUUAUACUGAU
rnacentral:lncRNA from 1 species